rnacentral:rRNA from 1 species
GUGAGGAAUAUUGCGCAAUGGAGGCAACUCUGACGCAGCCAUGCCGCGUGCAGGAAGAAGGCGCUACGCGUUGUAAACUGCUUUUAACCGGGAAGAAACCCCAGGACGUGUCCUGGGUUGACGGUACCGGAGGAAUAAGCACCGGCUAACUUCGUGCCAGCAGCCGCGGUAAUACGAAGGGUGCAAGCGUUAUCCGGAUUCAUGGGGUUUAAAGGGUGCGUAGGCGGAGCGUUAAGUCAGGGGUGAAAUCCUGCAGCUUAACUGUAGACUUGCCAUUGAUACUGGCGCUCUUGAGUGCGCUUGAAGUGGGCGGAAUGUGCCGUGUAGCGGUGAAAUGCUUAGAUAUGGCACAGAACACCAAUUGCGAAGGCAGCUCACUAAGGCGAUACUGACGCUGAGGCACGAAAGCGUGGGGAUCGAACAGGAUUAGAUACCCCAGUAGUCC